rnacentral:lncRNA from 1 species
AUUGUGCCUGAUAGGUAGCUAAACCUCCCUAACAACAAGCAACCUAACUAUAUAAACGGAUGCAAGUGGGAAAUAAAGUGGGUAUGUGAAUUUGGGGUGGUGUUAUGAAUGGGGGUAGGUGGGGAUGGGCUACAAAUGAACUUAUAAUAUUAUGUAAUGGAACUUCAAAAUUCAUUCCUUUCAAACCAAAUAUACACUGAGAAGCUAUUUGUGCCAGUUACCAUGCUACCCUUAAGAGGAAAGGCAAAUAUGUGAAAAUCCUUACCAUGAAGAUAUUAGUGCAUAUUGAUUAAACCCUUCAAGAUGAUAAGGAGCUUUAUUCUUUUUGUAGAGUGGUGAAUUUGAUUCACUGGUUGAUAGGCUGGAUAAUUUGGUGUAUGAUUAUGCCAUUGAGAGACCAAUUGAGCUUCUUGAUAAUUGAUUAGGUAAAGAAAUAUUUGACAUGUUGAAAGACUCACUAGCAAUAUUCCUAAAGGUCAAACCUGUGUAGGCUACAUAACAUUGAAAAGCAAAUGCCACACCCUAGGAGAAUUUCCAUAAGAUUGGCUUCUGUCAGGAAAAUUCUCUGUGAAGACGUUCUGACAGCAACAGAAUCUUAUAUAACUUUGUGAUACCAUCUGUUCAGCAGGCUGAGAAAGAACAGGCUCUCAACCUUAGUUUUUCCCUGGUAUAUGUAAGAUUCAACUUUGAAAGUUUCCUCCUGUAUAUGAUUUCUGAUUAGCUGAACAAAGGUGACCCUGGACAAUCAGGAAGUUCUCAUUCUUCCACACUGUGCCCAAAACACCAGACAAUGAGUGUAAGGAAAUAAAGCACUAGGCUUUAUUUCUAGGGUUAAAAUGGGGAUUCCAGGUGGAAACCACACAUACAUUUAUAGACAAGCAUGUUUUCUGAAAAGCAGAGAAUUAUAUAGGAUCCUUGCAUCAUUCUAUUCUCAAAGCAUUUGUUAAGCUUCAGUAAAUAUCUUAUUCAAUGUGAGACAUGGUUCUGAGCAUUGGAGAUAUAAAGAUGAAUAAACCAUCAUUCCUGCACUCCACUUAAGAACAUUUACAACAAAGUGAUUAGCGCUGUAAUAGAGGAAUACGCAAGAUGCUGAGAAGGCACAAGAGAGGAAACACUUCACGUUUCUAGGAGAGGCUACAAGAGGCUUUUCAAAGAGGGUAGCAUUUGAGUAGAUUCUUAAAGAAUGAAUUAGUUUUUCAGGGUAAUAAGAACAUUAUUAGCUGGAGAGAAAACAUGUGAGAAAAGCAGAAAGGUGUGAAGCAUCCAGGAGACCAGUGUGUAGGGAGAUAUAAUUUUUAAAGGUAGAUGGGAGCAGAAAUCUUGAAAAAACUUGUGUACCCUACUCUAGAGUUUGGACUUCAACUUGUAGACUUUUGGGGCCUUUGAAGGGUUUGAUUUUACAAGGAUGGAGAAUGGUAGUCAAUUGGGAUUGGUGAUGGCAGAUUCUUGAUGACCAGUUAGAAACAUAGCAUAGUCAUAUUGAUGGGACAUGAUGGGAGUCUGGGCAGAGGAACAGGACGGGAUUCCUUUUAGCUUUUUGACUUAAUGUAUUAUUGUUUCAUUAGUAAAAAGUGAAGAGCCAGCUUUUGGAUGGGAAAGAUGGAUUCAGUUGUGGACAUCUUGAGUUUGAGAUCCUCUGGAACAUCUGAGUAGAGAUGACCACGAAGUAGUUGGUAAAAUAAGCCUGAUGUUUAAGAGUAAGAGAUCCAGUGUGGAGAUAAUAAAUCCUAAGAACCUGGGAGUUCCCAUUGCGGCUCAGUGGAAACAAAUCCACUUGUAUCCGUGAGGAUGUGGGUUUGAUCCCUGGCUUUGCUCAGUGGGUCGGGGAUCCGGUGAUGCUGUGAGCUGUGGUGUAGGUCGCAGAUGGCUCGGAUAUUGUGUUGCUGUGGCUGUGGUGUAGGCCGGCAUCUGUAGCUCUGAUUUGACCCCUGGUCUGAUAACUUCCAUAUGCUGUGGGGCCAGCCCUAAAAAGCAAAAUAAAUAAAUAAAUAAAUUUAUUUUAGCGUCAUCAAUGUAUACAAAUUUUUGAGCCAAAAAUGUGAAUAAGAUUGCUCAGGAAAGUGUGUCAAAUCAGAGAAGAGGGAAGGCUGACCCAGGAAAUUGUAAUAAUUAAAGAGAAGAGACAUAUACUAAGCUGAGAAGGAAAUAGGGAGAAGUAAAGGAAAAAUCAGGAGGAAGUGUGCCAGGUGAGUGGAUAAUUCCAAGAAGGAGGUACUGCUUAAUUGUAUCAAAUGCUGAUGUUGACCAAGUUUGAAAAUGGCACUGGAUUAGAUCAUCAUGGGCUAAGAGAAUAGCAACAGCAGUUUUAUUGGAAUGAUAAAAGCAGAAUAAUGUAAUAGUGGGUUGAGGAUUGAAUGGGAGGUGAAGAAAGUUAUCAAAUGCUCAUUAUGAUUUUAACCUUCCCUUGAAGGCAAGAAAAAGAGAUACUUGUAGCUUGAGGGUGCCAAAGAGUCUCAGAAUUAGACUUUUAAAAAUAAUAGAAGAAGCUUGAUAGGAGAAUUCAAGAGUGUGGUCUGUUGAUUCUUGAGCUGGGUUAAAAAAUUUUUUUUUGCUUCCUUUUUGGGUGUUGGUUUAAAGGUGUUUUAAAACUAACUGAGGUUUUGAAAUGUCUAAACCUGCAUAGAAGUGCCUUGAGAAACAUUUGAGACAAAGGAUGGUUUGGGAAAGAAUCCCCACUGCUGCUGCAUGCAGAAUGUGGCUAGAUAUGUGAGAUGAUGAGGUUUAAAUAAUGGCAAAGAAAGUUGAAAGGCUCUCAGCGUCUUUGCUGACUCCAAGAAGCAAAAACAACCUGCCCUCCGGCAAACACAUUUUCCCUUCUGAAAUUCUGUCAAAUAAAUUCAGAGGCACAUGAAAAAAAUGGAAAUAUAUCUUGUAACAUGUGUUGAUAUCGUUGCACAGCUCCUAUUUCAUAGAUUGUGCAUGAUGAAUUUUAACACUAUAUCUGAUUUCUCUGGCAUGUACACUGUGUAAAAGAGCUUGUAGAGGUACAGUGUUAUAAUCCUUCCAGAGAACUUGAGAAGGCAUUGCACCAAAAUGAGACUACAGAUAUUAUAUAAGAAAGAAGAAAUCUUUUGCUCAAAAAUGAAGGCACUUCAUAAUAACAUUCAAGGAAAAUUGCAUCCUUCGAGACACACUACACAUUCUUUCUUACCGAUGACAAGAAAUGCAGCUUAGGUUUAGCGUUUCAUUCAGAGUAUCACAGCCCUAGCUAGCUUUCAAUGGGCUUAUUUUUCAAGACCUGAAGUAGUAGCUCGUCAUAUAUCUCUCAGCUUCUGAAAUGAUUGGUAUUCCUCUCCUAUCUAGCAGCUGUUGGAGGGUUUUUUAUUUAACCAGUGAAGAGUUCCAAAAUAGAAGUGUUGUCCUGGUUAUAUUUUAAAAACACACAUUUCAGGUCUUUCCUCUUUGACUUGAAGUAGUAGAUAAAAAUCCCAAAGUGAAAAUGACAAGAUAACAUUGUGACAUUGAUUCACAAAGGCAUAAGUCAUCUAUAGAUGCCCCUACAUGUCAGCUCCCAAGGCAAAAGCUGAAACUGUCAUACCCAACAUCCAAGAGCUAAGUACUAAGUAGAUUUAGUCAAAAUCUUGAUUCACUGCAAGGCUAAUGAAAUCAGGUGUUCUGGGUAACUAAAUUCUCUAGACAUUAGAUGGCUAAAUAGGAUACCCCUUUUAUUUGAAUUUUUUUUUUUACCACAGAGUUUUAGAAAUUGUUGCCAUAUUUUAUUAAUUUAGUGAUUUUUCCUGUUGGUGUAAAAACAGUUUGAUUGUGGAUUCUAUUCCUGUUGAAGAUGGGGAGGUAGUUAUUUUCUUGACAUUUUCUUUUAGAGUUUGUGCACAAGAGAGAUUGGCUGGUAAUUGCUUUUUCCUGUUCUAGAUCUUGUGGUUGGUCUGAUCAGUAUGUUCUAAGACCUCUACCCUCCACUGCCCUGUCAAAUUUAUAUAACAUGUUAUUUUAUUCUUAAUCUAUUUUUUAAUCUCUGGUAUUUGAUAUUGGUUGGAUAUUAAGUUGUUAAAAAUUUUAAGUAAUGUGUAACCCAGUAAGAGAAGAGACAUGUACUGCUGAAAAUUAACUUCCUGGGAUUGAAUCUUGGCUCUGCUACUGGCUAACUCUAUGGCCUUGAAUAAGAACUAAAUGUGUUUGCGUCUCAGUUUUGUCCCCUAUAAAAUAGAGAUAACAUUACUACUUACCUAUAGGGUGGUACUUGGUUUCCCUAAAGUACUUAGAAAAGGGCCUAGUAUACAGUAUAUUCCACAUAUGUGCUAGCUAUGGUUAUUAUCACCCUACAUCUUUAUUCGAGGUUGGCCCCAGAGUGCAUCAUCAACUCCUGUGCCAGGGAAGAUGUCUUAGUUUGGGUUGCUAUGACAGAGCACCACAAACAAGGUGGCUUCAGCAACAGAAAUUUAUUUCUGUAUUUCUGGAGGCUGGAAGUCCAAGAUCAGGGUACAAGCAUGGUUGGGGACUGCUGAGGGCUCUCUCCCUCCUUUGUUGCCUUCUUGCUCUUUCUAUAUAAGUGUGGUGAAGAGAGAGAGGGCUAUAGCUUCUUCCUCUUCUUAUAAGGACACUAGUCCCAUCCUGGGGGCUCUACCCUCAUGACCUCAUCUAAACCUUAUUACCUUUCAAAGACCCUACCUUCUAAUACUUUUGCUUGAGGGGUAGGGUUUUAGCAUAUAAAUUUUGGGAUCAUACCAUAGCAAGAGAGGAUGGGGCUUUCCCUUGGAGAGGAUAAUCUGCAAUCCCCAGAGUUUGGAACUGAGUUUGGUACUGUCUCUCGUUUAUGUAUGGAUAUUCUUAGAUUGGGUUUAUAUGUUCUAUUUUUAAGCAAUGAUGUGCUUAAAAAAAU